GACGAACGCUGGCGGCGUGCUUAACACAUGCAAGUCGAACGGAAAGGCCCUGCUUUUGUGGGGUGCUCGAGUGGCGAACGGGUGAGUAACACGUGAGUAACCUGCCCUUGACUUUGGGAUAACUUCAGGAAACUGGGGCUAAUACCGGAUAUGAGCUCCUGCUGCAUGGUGUGGGUUGGAAAGUUUCGGCGGUUGUGGAUGGACUCGCGGCUUAUCAGCUUGUUGGUGUGGUAGUGACUUACCAAGGCUUUGACGGGUAGCCGGCCUGAGAGGGUGACCGGGCACAUUGGGACUGAGAGACGGCCCAGACUCCUACGGGAGGCAGCAGUGGGGAAUAUUGCACAAUGGGCGGAAGCCUGAUGCAGAAACGCCGCGUGCGGGAUGACGGCCUUCGGGUUGUAAACCGCUUUCGCCUGUGACGAAGCGUGAGUGACGGUAAUGGGUAAAGAAGCACCGGCUAACUACGUG
rnacentral:rRNA from 1 species